rnacentral:rRNA from 1 species
UGGGGAAUUUUGGACAAUGGGCGAAAGCCUGAUCCAGCAAUGCCGCGUGUGUGAAGAAGGCCUUCGGGUUGUAAAGCACUUUUGUCCGGAAAGAAAUCCUUGGCUCUAAUACAGUCGGGGGAUGACGGUACCGGAAGAAUAAGCACCGGCUAACUACGUGCCAGCAGCCGCGGUAAUACGUAGGGUGCAAGCGUUAAUCGGAAUUACUGGGCGUAAAGCGUGCGCAGGCGGUUUGCUAAGACCGAUGUGAAAUCCCCGGGCUCAACCUGGGAACUGCAUUGGUGACUGGCAGGCUAGAGUAUGGCAGAGGGGGGUUAGAAUUCCACGUGUGAGCAGUGAAAGUGCGUAGAGAUGUGGAGGAAUACCGAU